UUCAGCCAGCAACAUAUCAGUGCACGAGGAUGUGUGUCUUUCCAGUGGAGCCUUGAGAAAGAUCCUGAACCAGAGAACCUAACCAAGUCAUUCCUGGGUUCUUGAUCCAUGGAAAUCAUGAAACAGGUAUUCUUUCCAAAGAUGGGGCAAAGAUGGAAAAUCAACAGCUAGAGGCUAUAUCUACUAGCUUGGACUCCAUGGAAAGAAGAGAUUGCUUCCACCUCAGUAGUUUCAUCAAGAAUCCAGGGCUGAAUCUCAGGGAAAGCUCUGGUCAACCAUUAUGGAGCUUUCCUUGGUCAUGACCUUCCACAAUGUUAUUUCUGCCUUGGAGCCAAAUUACCAUGGACUGAACCCACUGGAAACUGUAAGAUGAG